rnacentral:rRNA from 1 species
AUUGAACGCUGGCGGCAGGCCUAACACAUGCAAGUCGAGCGGACGAAGGGGACGUGCUCCUGGCUUCAGCGGCCGACGGGCGAGUGAUUCAUAGGAAGAUGCCUGGCCUAUGGGGAUAACGUAAGUACACGGGCGCUAAUACCGCAUCCGUCCUGAGGGAGAACGGGGGGGAUCUUCGGAGCUCACGCUAUCAGCUGAGACUAGGAGGGAUUAGCUAGUUGGUUGGGUAAGGGCGUACCAAGGCGACGAUCCGUAGCUGGUCUGAGAGGAUGAUCAGCCACACUGGAACUGAGACACGGUCCAGACUCCUACGGGAGGCAGCAGUGGGGAAUAUUGGACAAUGGGCGAAAGCCUGACCCAGCCAUGCCGCGUGUGUGAAGAAGGUCUUCGGAUCGUAAAGCACUUUUAGUUGGGAAGAACAGCAGUAAGUUAAUACCUGGCUGUUUUGACGGUACCAACAGAAUAAGCACCGGCUAACUUCGUG